rnacentral:rRNA from 1 species
CUACGGGGUGCAGCAGCUGGGAAUAUUGCGCAAUGGGCGAAAGCCUGACGCAGCGACACCGCGUGUGGGAAGACGCUUUUCGGAGUGUAAACCACUGUGGCAGGGGAACAAUCAUGAGGGUACCCUGCUAGAAAGCACCUGCUAACUACGUGCCAGAAGCCUCGGUAAUACGUAGGGUGCAAGCAUUAUCCGGAUUUACGGGGCGUAAAGCGUCCGUCGGCGUGUUAUUAAGUCUUUAGUCUAAGCCCAAGGCUCAACUUUGGACAGGCUGAAGAAACUAAUAAAAUUGAGUUUACUAGGGGGAGCUGGAAUUCUCGGUGGAGGGGUGAAAUCCGUAGAUAUCGAGAGGAACACCGUUCGCGAAGGCGAGCUCCUGGAGUAUAACUGACGCUCAGGGACGAAAGUUUGGGUAGCAAAAGGGAUUAGAUACCCCCGUAGUC